AUGGCACCGCCGGCGCCGUACAUCGUCGACGAGAUCCUGGAGGAGAUCUUCCUUUGCCUACCCACCCCGGCCGCGCUCGUCCGCGCCUCAACCGCCAGCCCCCGCUUCCGCCGCAUCAUCACGGCGCGCUCCUUCCUCCGCCGCUUCCGCGCUCUCCAUCCGCCUCCACUCGUGGGAUUCGCCCUUGAGAAACGUGGCUUCCACCACGCCCAAGAACCCCAUCCCUCGGCCCCGCUUGCCCGCGCCCUUGCCGACCGCGCAUAUUUCACCUACUCCUUCGUCCCCAAGCCCGAUGAUGAUUGGCUCACCGGCCUCAGCCCCUGGUGCCACCGCGACGUUCGCGACGGCCGCGUCCUCCUCGAGUGCAGCUACCUGUGGGACAUCAAGCCAGUCUUUACAAACCUGGCGGUGUGCGACCCCUGGUCACGGAGAUCCACGCUGCUCUUUCCCAUACCAGAGGAGAUGACCGCCCAGCAAGAGCGCCUUAUCGAGUUCGAGCCAAUGCUUGCUCCCAUUGGCGAGGAUGAGGACGAGGUUGAGGAUGAGACCUCGUUCAAGGUGAUCUGCACGGCGCGCUACGAAACCAAGCUGGUCACGUUUGUCUACUCUUCCGUCGCCGUUGAAUGGUGUAUAGCUGCAUCUCCCAGCUGGAACUCUUUGGGCACAGAUGAGCCCCCUGGGAAAGGCUUUUCCCAUUUCAGUUAUUUGCGUGGCUGCUUCUACUGGAGCUCUCUUUGGAAAGACAAGCUUCUCGUGCUCGACACACGCACAAUGGAGUUCUCCACUGUCAACAUUCUCACCGGCUACCAUGUGCAGCUUAUAAACCAGCCUGGUCAGAGUGUGUGCAUGUCUACCAUUGUUGAUGGUACAAAAGGAGCCCUUGAGAUGUUUACUCUUGUUGGUCAUUGCAAGCCUACCUCGUUUUAUAUUUAUCAUACAAGUCAGCAAAACAAUGGCGGACCUUCCAACGGGUGGCAGCUGAAAAAUGUUAUAGCAUUGCCUCCCCGAUGUCUCUAUUAUACCGUGGGUGCAGCUGAGGGAUUCUUAUUCCUUCGAGGUGUUCGAGAAGCUCGGUGGGGUGACAAUGGGGUCUUUCCUGUUGAUGAUAUCGAUUUUUUCUCUCUGGAUGUCAAGACUUCAGAACUUAAGAAGGUCUGCAGCUGCAGGGAAACAAUCUUUAAUCAUCCCAAUCGUGCUCGCCCAUUAUUUGGCUUCCCGCCAUCAUUGUCGAAACCGACCCUAUGA
rnacentral:rRNA from 1 species